UACGGGGGGGGUAAGCGUUGUUCGGAAUUACUGGGCGUAAAGGGCUCGUAGGCGGCCAACUAAGUCAGACGUGAAAUCCCUCGGCUUAACCGGGGAACUGCGUCUGAUACUGGAUGGCUUGAGAUUAGGAGAGGGAUGCGGAAUUCCAGGUGUAGCGGUGAAAUGCGCAGAUAUCAGGAGGAACACCGGUGGCGAAGGCGGCUACCUGGACAGAAACUGACGCUGAGGCGCGAAAGCUAGGGGAGCAAACAGG
rnacentral:rRNA from 1 species